UGCCUCAAAAGCUCACCUGGUUAGAGCAUGGUGCUGAUAAUGCCAAGGCUGCAGGUUUGAUCCCUGUGUUGGCAG